rnacentral:rRNA from 1 species
GGGUUGUGAGGUUAAGCGACUAAGCGUACACGGUGGAUGCCCUGGCAGUCAGAGGCGAUGAAGGACGUGCUAAUCUGCGAUAAGCGUCGGUGAGGUGAUAUGAACCGUUAUAACCGGCGAUUUCCGAAUGGGGAAACCCAGUGUGUUUCGACACACUAUCAUUAACUGAAUCCAUAGGUUAAUGAGGCGAACCGGGGGAACUGAAACAUCUAAGUACCCCGAGGAAAAGAAAUCAACCGAGAUUCCCCCAGUAGCGGCGAGCGAACGGGGAGGAGCCCAGAGCCUGAAUCAGUGUGUGUGUUAGUGGAAGCGUCUGGAAAGGCGUGCGAUACAGGGUGACAGCCCCGUACACAAAAAUGCACAUAUUGUGAGCUCGAUGAGUAGGGCGGGACACGUGGUAUCCUGUCUGAAUAUGGGGGGACCAUCCUCCAAGGCUAAAUACUCCUGACUGACCGAUAGUGAACCAGUACCGUGAGGGAAAGGCGAAAAGAACCCCGGCGAGGGGAGUGAAAAAGAACCUGAAACCGUGUACGUACAAGCAGUGGGAGCCUCUUAAUGGGGUGACUGCGUACCUUUUGUAUAAUGGGUCAGCGACUUAUAUUCUGUAGCAAGGUUAACCGAAUAGGGGAGCCGAAGGGAAACCGAGUCUUAACUGGGCGUUAAGUUGCAGGGUAUAGACCCGAAACCCGGUGAUCUAGCCAUGGGCAGGUUGAAGGUUGGGUAACACUAACUGGAGGACCGAACCGACUAAUGUUGAAAAAUUAGCGGAUGACUUGUGGCUGGGGGUGAAAGGCCAAUCAAACCGGGAGAUAGCUGGUUCUCCCCGAAAGCUAUUUAGGUAGCGCCUCGUGAAUUCAUCUCCGGGGGUAGAGCACUGUUUCGGCAAGGGGGUCAUCCCGACUUACCAACCCGAUGCAAACUGCGAAUACCGGAGAAUGUUAUCACGGGAGACACACGGCGGGUGCUAACGUCCGUCGUGAAGAGGGAAACAACCCAGAC